AUGAGGGCACCCUGGAUUAUCAAGGAUUUCGAGGUGAGGGCACCCUGGAUUAUCAAGGAUUUCGAGGACCAGCGUCGCUGGCGGGAUCUCUCCAACGCCACGGCCAGCUCCCCAGUGAUCCACAGGCCACGUCCUCACAGCGCAUUCUGUGUUCCAGCAUCCCCGACCAAACCCAAGGUCUUCCCGCUGAGCCUCGAGGGCACCCAGUCAGAUAACGUGGUCGUCGCCUGCCUGGUCCAGGGCUUCUUCCCCCAGGAGCCACUCAACGUGACCUGGAACAAAAGCGGAGCGGGUGUGACCGUCAUAAACUUCCCGCCCAGCCAGGACGCCUCCGGGGGCCUGUACACCACGAGCAGCCAGCUGACCCUGCCAGCCGCACAGUGCCCAGCCAGCGAGUCCGUGACAUGCCACGUGGAGCACUACACGAAUCCCAGCCAGGAUGUGGCCGUGCCCUGCGUUCCCAAACCCAACUCUUGCUUAUGUGAUGAACCCCGACUGUCACUGCGCCGACCAGCCCUCGAGGACCUGCUCCUAGGUUCCGAGGCAAACCUCACGUGCACACUGACCGGCCUGAGAGAUCCCUCGGGUGCCACCUUCACCUGGACGCCCUCAAGUGGGAAGAACGCUGUCCAACAGUCACCUGAGCGUGACCCCUGUGGCUGCUACAGUGUGUCCAGUGUCCUGCCCGGCUGUGCUGAGCCAUGGAACAAUAGGGUGACCUUCACCUGCACUGCUAAUCACCCUGAGUUGAAGACCCAGCUAACUGCCACCAUCUCAAAAUCCGAAAACACAUUUCGGCCCGAGGUCCACCUGCUGCCGCCGCCGUCGGAGGAGCUGGCCCUGAACGAGCUGGUGACACUGACGUGCCUGGCACGAGGCUUCAGCCCCGAGGACGUGCUGGUUCGCUGGCUGAAGGGAACAGAGCAGCUGCCCCGUGACAAGUACCUGACUUGGGAAUCCCGGAAGGAGCCCAGCCAGGGCACCACCACCUUCGCCGUGACCAGCAUACUGCGCGUGGCAGCCGAGGACUGGAAGAAGGGGGACACCUUCUCCUGCAUGGUGGGCCACGAGGCCCUGCCGCUGGCCUUCACACAGAAGACCAUCGACCGCCUGGCGGGUAAACCCACCCACGUCAAUGUGUCUGUGGUCAUGGCGGAAGUGGACGGCACCUGCUACUGAGCCGCCUGCCUGUCCCCACCCCUGAAUAAACUCCAUGCUCCCCCAAGCA